AUUGAACGCUGGCGGCAGGCCUAACACAUGCAAGUCGAACGGUAACAGGAAGCAGCUUGCUGCUUUGCUGACGAGUGGCGGACGGGUGAGUAAUGUCUGGGAAACUGCCCGAUGGAGGGGGAUAACUACUGGAAACGGUAGCUAAUACCGCAUAACGUCGCAAGACCAAAGAGGGGGACCUUAGGGCCUCUUGCCAUCGGAUGUGCCCAGAUGGGAUUAGCUAGUAGGUGGGGUAACGGCUCACCUAAGCGACGAUCCCUAGCUGGUCUGAGAGGAUGACCAGCCACACUGGAACUGAGACACGGUCCAGACUCCUACGGGAGGCAGCAGUGGGGAAUAUUGCACAAUGGGCGCAAGCCUGAUGCAGCCAUGCCGCGUGUAUGAAGAAGGCCUUCGGGUUGUAAAGUACUUUCAGCGGGGAGGAAGGGAGUAAAGUUAAUACCUUUGCUCAUUGACGUUACCCGCAGAAGAAGCACCGGCUAACUCCGUG
rnacentral:rRNA from 1 species